AGUGAACGCUGGCGGCAGGCCUAACACAUGCAAGUCGAACGGCAGCACAGGAGGUGCUUGCUGUUGCGGGUGGCGAGCGGCGGAAGGGUGCGGUAGGCACCGGAAUCUACUUUUUCGCUGGGGCUAACGCAGGGUAAUUCAUGCCGCUACCGCAUUCCACCUGCGGGUGACAGCCGGGGAUCUUUGGACCUUUCGGGUUUGAUUAUGCCUAAGUCGGAUUAGUUAGUUGGCGGGGUAAAGGCCGACCAAGGCGACGAUCCGUAGCGGGUCUGAGAGGAUGAUCAGCCACACUGGAACUGAGACACGGCCCAGACUCCUACGGGAGGCAGCAGUGGGGAAUAUUGGACAAUGGGCGAAAGCCUGAUCCAGCAAUACCGCGUGGGUGAAGAAGGCCUUCGGGUUGUAAAGCCCUUUUGUUCGGAAAGAAAAGCAGCGGUUUAAUACGGCACGGUUAUGACGGUACCCGAAGAAUAAGCACCGGCUAACUUCGUG
rnacentral:rRNA from 1 species